UCCUGUUUUACAGAUGAGUAAACUGAGGCCUAGAGGGAAGAUGGGUGCAUUUCCUGCAGCUAAAUAUUAAGUACAGGACAGAAUUUGGACUUCCAGAUUGGUUGAUCUCCGGGCCUGAUGCAGAGUUCCUGUUUGACAUCUCUGUUCUCCAUCAUCCUGAAGAGUCUCUUCAUCUCUUCAUGCUGGAUUGUGUUCUCCUACCUCUCUGGCCUUUCUUUUCUGAGUUCAUCCUUGUCCUGGUGGAGCACAAUUUCUAGCCGCAUCCUGAAAAACAUUGCCUCCUUGACAAAAGCCAUGUGAAAAAAACAGAAGAGGCAUGACUGACUACAUUUCGCAUUUGAAGAACAAAGGCUCUGAUAGA